AUUGAACGCUGGCGGCAUGCUUUACACAUGCAAGUCGAACGGCAGCGCGGGCUUCGGCCUGGCGGCGAGUGGCGAACGGGUGAGUAAUGCAUCGGAACGUGCCCAGUAGUGGGGGAUAGCCCGGCGAAAGCCGGAUUAAUACCGCAUACGACCUGAGGGUGAAAGCGGGGGACCGAAAGGCCUCGCGCUAUUGGAGCGGCCGAUGUCGGAUUAGCUAGUUGGUGGGGUAAAGGCUUACCAAGGCGACGAUCCGUAGCUGGUCUGAGAGGACGACCAGCCACAGUGGGACUGAGACACGGCCCAGACUCCGACGGGAGGCAGCAGUGGGGAAUAUUGGACAAGGGGGGCAAGCCUGAUCCAGCCAGACCGCGUGGGGGAAGAAGGCCUUCGGGUUGUAAAGCCCUUUUGUUGGGAAAGAAAAGCAGCAGGUUAAUACCCCGGUGGUCUGACGGUACCGAAAGAAUAAGCACCGGCUAACUUCGUG
rnacentral:rRNA from 1 species